rnacentral:rRNA from 1 species
CCUACGGGAGGCUGCAGUAGGGAAUAUUGCUCAAUGGGGGAAACCCUGAAGCAGCAACGCCGCGUGGAGGAUGAAGGUUUUCGGAUUGUAAACUCCUUUUGUUAGAGAAGAUAAUGACGGUAUCUAACGAAUAAGCACCGGCUAAAUCCGGGCCAGCAGCCGCGGUAAUACGGCGGGUGCAAGCGUUACUCGGAAUGACUGGGGGUAAAGAGCGCGUAGGCGGGAUAGCAAGUCAGAUGUGAAAUCCUAUGGGUUAACCAUAGAACUGCAUUUGAAACUGUUAUUCUUGAGUAUGGGAGAGGUAGGUGGAAUUCUUGGUGUAGGGGUAAAAUCCGUAGAGAUCAAGAAGAAUACUCAUUGCGAAGGCGACCUACUAGAACAUAACUGACGCUGAUGCGCGAAAGCGUGGGGAGCAAACAGGAUUAGAUACCCCGGUAGUC